rnacentral:misc_RNA from 1 species
AACGCACAUUGCGCCCCCUCUAAAGGGGGGCAUGCCUGUCUGAGCGUCGUUUGAUAUUCAUAAGCCGACAUGCUUUGUCGGCUUGUCUUGGGCCUUGCCGUAUGGGCAUCGCCUCAAAGUGAUCAGUCUCUUGAGCGGACAGGAUCCUGUAGGGCCGACCGUUCCCAGACUCUAAAAGAUCUCGACUCGACCUCAGAUCAGGCAGGACCACCGCCUGAACUUAA